rnacentral:rRNA from 1 species
GAUGAACGCUAGCGGCAGGCCUAAUACAUGCAAGCAGAACGGUAAGUUUGAUAGUGAUAUUGGACCUAGAGUGGCGCAAGGGUGCGUAACACGUAUGCAACCUGCCCGCGACAGGAGGAUAGCUACCCGAAAGGGGAAUUAACCCCCCAUAACAGCAUGAGAUGCCAUCUGAUUAUGGUUAAACUGCAAGGGGUCGCGGAUGGGCAUGCGGUUGAUUAGAUUGUUGGCGGGGUAAAGGCACACCAAGGCGGUGAUCAAUAGGGGAUCUGAGAGGAAGGUCCCCCGCACUGGCACUGGGAUACGGGCCAGACUCCUACGGGAGUCGGCAGUAGGGAAUAUUGGACGAGGGUCGCAAGGCGGAUCCAGGCAUGCCUCGUGCAGGAAUAAGGCCUGCUGAGUCGUAAACUGCUUGUUCCUGGGGUGAAAAUGCCCGUGCGCGGGGAAUUGAAGGUAACAGGGGAAUAAGCCACGGCUAACUACGUG